ACUAUGGGUUUUUUUGCCCCCUUUGGGCAUGGCAUGAUAACUCAUUGCUGUUUUUGAGAAGAGAUUGCCUCUCUUUGGUAAACAUAGCAACUAACUGAACAAUAGACGGUAGCUAUGACUGAACAAAACCAGAUAGCUAGAUCCAGGGUAAUGUUAAUGGAGCUGAAAAUACUUGCUACAAGGAGCUAGGUGAGGAGUCAGCUGUUACUCUCCCUCUAGCCCUUCCUCAGCAGUCUUGGGAAAUGUUAAAGUUUAUAGAAAGUGGGAGAUUAAUGAAAAGGGUGCUCUGUGGUGCAGCUUCCAUGAGGCCAUCACCCAUGAUGGUGUGGGACUUUGUGGUGAGGCCACUGUUUAAGAUCCUCCACACUUCUGAUCUCAUUUAUCCCAAGUUGGCUUUGAAUUCCCCAUCCUCACACCUCUACCUUUGGAGUGCUAAGAUUUUAGCAGAUCCCUGCCCAGUGAAUGGAGAGAACUUGGGGGACAGGCUCAGACCCGUGUUACCAAAAGUGCACAGGUACCACAUGUGGGGCUCCUCUGUGAGGAGCUAAGAAACAGGAUAAAGGCCAAGAGUCGGGUCAAAGAAGAAAACAGCAGCAAAAAAGAAACACAGGUCGUUAAUGUAUUCAUCUUUCAUAGGAGAACAUUAAUUAGUACGCCAGAAGUUCAUAAUCAAAGAAUAUGUGGUUAAAUACAUUACUACAGUAUGAAUAAAAUAAUAAUAACUAAA